UUUUCCUCCUCAGACAGUCAGUUUCCACCUGUAAGACCUUACAACAGCCCAACAGCAAGUCAUAAAUAUAAAUAUAUGCUCAAAGCGUUUAAAACUAUCGAUUGUCCUGAAUAAUAGACAUUCAUAUACAUUAUGUCGCGUUUUUAUUCCAGUAAAUCUGAAGAAUACUAAUAUCAAGUACAUUUGCAGCUGGUUUAGCCAAUUGAGCUUCAGUCAAUCGAGUUAUUCCUUUUAAAGUCAUCGAUUUCAUCAUAAUCAAGAUAUUGAACCACACAAACAUGCAUCAAAGCAAAAACAUUGAAAAGACAAAAACGAAACUUCUCCUUAAUCGAGAAAAAACUUUAUAAAAGGCCAUAUUAGUCGAAGUGAAUUUAUUGGACAGAAUUUGCAGAUUUUGGGUGGUACUUUAAAUAACAAUCAUUCACCAUAAAAAACAGUAUUAGGAAAAGAAUAAAACUUGACAGGACUGAAAACAGAUCCAGGAUUCAUCCAUGGUUGGUUCACAACAUCAUUGGCAAGCUCCUCUGGCCAUUAAAGCUACACUCGAUCAUCUUUUGAUCUGUUGUGAAAGUGUUCUUUUAAUUAUGAUUAUGCCACUUUCAGCCAAAAUCAAGCAACUUGUGUUGUUUUCUUGGACGUAGUCUGCAGAAACUAGAAAUUUGCCUAUCGGAGAAAGUCUUUAAAGAGUUGAUCCUCAAAAUCUAAUUGCAAGUCAUUAACCAACUUUCUUCAGAUUUAUCCUGUGAGAAAUAUCCUCUUUCUUUAACAUCCUCUCUUUGGUUUACUUGUUCACAUGUGAGCAAACCCAGAUCCGUGUUUUCGUGUAGACCACUGCUCGCUUGUUUGGUCCAGUCAAGGUGAGCUUUCACACCUGCCCAAACAAAACUGUAAAAUCCGACAAAUCUAAGUGUGGUCCGAACCGAGCAGCUACAAUUUAAAUUCUUCUUUGAGAGAUGUUUCAACCCAAACCCGGGACUUAACCUUUAGAAGGUAAUCAGUGUUAUCUUCAUCUGGACUGCACAGCUGGAACUCCUCUGCACACAGCCACAGCCUGGCUGCAGAAACACAAAGCAUGGAAGCUUAAACAACGGCACAAAGUCAAAAUCUUUUUUUUUUGGGGGGUAAAAAGAGUUGUUUUUAUAAGCAAAUAUUUCUCGAUUUAACAGUUAAGUAAAAGGACAAACCCAUGUAUCUAAAAAAAAUAAAAAUCGAAUGUUUAAUGUUAAGUAGACAACAAACGACCUUCCUUUUCACCGUGUGUUAAUGUUUAAUCUGACAGGAUAAAGAAGAAUUGGAAGCUGUCAUGAAGGAAGCCAGAGCGGUUUUGCCUCCCUGGUUGGAAUGUGAGCUUUUGAAUUCAACGGCAGUGUUAGCCUGAGGGAGGUGUUUCCCUGGCCUGAAACUGCCCGCUGAGUGGCAUCUUUCAUCAAAGUGUGCCCACACUCCUCACCGAUAAGUGGCCAUCCCUCACCUUUCACAUGAUGUCACAUGUUUGCAAUCAGAGUGGGCCUUUGCAGACAAAUUAGGGCAGUUAACGUCCACCGGAGAUCAGUGCAGAGGCGGGGAAGCUGUUGCUAAACGUCACCAGAUGCGGCCUGAAGUGGAUCGGCUCACUUUUGCUCAGAACCUUACAGUGUCCUUGAAUAAAGAUCUCAGAAAGAGGCUCGCGGCCAAAGAAAAGAGACACAUUCUUACUAAAUUGAUGUUUUUAUGGCUAAAAUAAUACUGCAGGUGCUGUUCAGUUUGAGCAAAUGUGUUUGUAGUAAUGUCAAAUUUUAAUUUUAAGCUCUUUAAGAAUAUUAUUUUAAUACAUUUAGCACAGUUUUUUUAAACCUUGAAUACACUUUUAUCUUUAUUUUAUCACGGAAAAAUGCAAACUUAUUUGUUCAUUGCAAAUAAAUUAAUAUUUAUUAUUUAAUUAAUAUUUAACAAAUAUUAAAUAAAUGAACAUUUUAGGUACAGUUGUUGCUCUCAUUGCUUUCUAUGGCUGAAAAAAAUCUUUAUUGACGGAAAUGUCCACAUUUAAUAAAGAAAAUAUGAAAAUAUGAUUGUGUAAAUUAGUAUUUAGAGAGUGUACUCUCUGAAUACUGGAAGGGUGGUAAAUGAUACCAGCAGAGUGGACCUGUAUGCACAAUAAUCUGAAGGGCUCAAUAUGAUUUUCUUAAUUUUUACAAGACUUAAAGAAGCUUUUAUGGAUGAUAUCUUAAUCGUUGUAAAUAAUGUCACCAAUAUUGAUUUAAAAAAU